rnacentral:lncRNA from 1 species
GGGCCUCUAGCCUGAGUCCACGGAUCCCUUACAGUUCUACUACACAUGUCAAGGUCUCCGGAUUUCCAUACUCACCUCUGCCUCCUCUCCCUGGCCCCCAAGGCCUCAAGAACCAAGUCAUCCUCCAAGACUCAAUUCAAGCAAUUGACCAGUGAAACUUCCCCUAGGGCACCCACGCUGAACCCUCGCCCACCUCCGGCCUCCAGUGUGCCCUUGUGGACACUUCUACUACAGCACCUACUGUACCGUGCUAUAACCACAUAGCUAUAUGCUGGGCUUCCCACCAGAAAAUGAACUCCUUCAGAGCAGGAACCUUGUUGGCUCUUAUCCAUCUGUGAAUCUCCAGAGCAGGCACAGUGCCCAGGUUGGCAGUGACUAUCAGACGGCAGGUGGAUUGGUAGCUGGAUCACUGGAUAGAAGGGUAGUUAGAUGGAAGAGUGACUAGGUGCAAAAAUGGCUGGGUGGAAGGGUGGCUAGAUGGAAGUGUGGCUGGGUGGAAACUUGGCUGGAUGGAAGGGUGGCUAGGUGGAAGGGUGGUUGAGUGGAAGGGUAGUUAGAUGGAAGAGCGAUUGGGUGGAAGAACAGCCAGGAGGAAAGGUCACAGAACCACUCUACGUUAGAUUUCAUGCAAAUUCACAUGAUACUGACCACCUUUCACAGGCAGCCACAGUUCUAAAAACCCUCGUAUCACAAUCAUUGUCUACCAGAAGAUUCCUCUGAAACUUUCAAUCAAAAGCAGAAACGCCACUUCAACAUCUGGCCUUUUUGCCCACAUUCAAUAUGUCUCUCUUCAAAAAAGUGUCCAUUUCAACACCUCUUGCCAUCUCACUCACACAUCGGCUGCAGGAGGUAACCUCAGGCCAAACAGAGACCUCACAGCCACCUUGUCGGUGAUAAGCUUAAGCCUUUUAGGGUUUUACACACUCAAGAUAAUAACUGAAUUAGAAUCAUGGGACCUUUCUAGGCUGACAGCCCCAGAAGAUUCUGAACAUUAAACUCUAUUAUCUUCGAUUCUCAACUCAAACCAUGUUUCCUCUUUUCUCAACCCAGAGCUUAAUAUCAUGACAGUCCGCCAUACAGAACAAUCCAUUGUGAAGAUGUUUCCAAUUCACUAAAUUUUACAGUUGUAGAAAACACACACGUUAAUGCACAUUCACAUUCAACAAAUAUUUAUGUAACCUCUUAUGUAACCUCUACCGUGUACCAGGCAACACAAGCGGGUAGAGGAGAGGGGAGCACACGAAGGGAAAAAGCAACAAGGUCGAAGUCAGAAGACGUGGAUCUCCAUCCCUGUGUGUCCCUGACUCACGGAGAGUUCCUGGGGAAAAGGACCACCUCCUCUUGUAGAUAAUGUCAUCAAGAGUCCAAAACAGGUCGUGUUCAUCUCAGUAUCCCAGCCCCCAGAACAAAGUAGGCACAUGGCAG